ACAAGCGGUGGAGUAUGUGGUUUAAUUCGAUGCAACGCGAAGAACCUUACCUGGUCUUGACAUCCCGGAGACCCUUAGGAAACUAGGGGGUGCUUCCAUCUGGAAGAAUCUGGAGACAGGUGCUGCAUGGCUGUCGUCAGCUCGUGUCGUGAGAUGUUGGGUUAAGUCCCGCAACGAGCGCAACCCUUGCCUUUAGUUGCCAUCAGUUCGGCUGGGCACUCUAUGGAGACUGCCACCUAAAGUGGAGGAAGGUGGGGAUGACGUCAAGUCAGCAUGGCCCUUACGUCCGGGGCUACACACGUGCUACAAUGGCCGGUACAAAGGGUUGCGAAGCCGUGAGGUGGAGCGAAUCUCAAAAAGCCGGCCUCAGUUCGGAUUGGAGGCUGCAACUCGCCUCCAUGAAGUCGGAAUCGCUAGUAACCGCAGAUCAGCUACGUUGCGGUGAAUACGUUCCCGGGCCUU
rnacentral:rRNA from 1 species